rnacentral:rRNA from 1 species
CCCUUAGAUGUUCUGGGCUGCACGCGCGCUACACUGAUGCGCUCAACGAGUUUGCAUCCUUGCCUGGCAAGGUCGGGUAAUCUGUUCAAAAUGCAUCGUGAUGGGGAUAGAUUAUUGCAAUUAUUAAUCUUCAACGAGGAAUUCCUAGUAAGCGCGAGUCAUCAGCUCGUGCUGAUUACGUCCCUGCCCUUUGUACACACCGCCCGUCGCUCCUACCGAUUGAGUGGUCCGGUGAGGCUUUGGGAUCUGAGCGGAAAGAGCGUUUCGCUGUUUCUGCUCGGAAAACUCAGUCGAACCUUAUCAUUUAGAGGAAGGAGAAGUCGUAACA